rnacentral:lncRNA from 1 species
UACGCGCCUCUUCCCCGCCUCCUCCCCAGCCUUGAACGAGGCGCUGGACGCUUUUCCCGGCGGGAGGAAGCGCACGAAAUAAAAACAAGUGUGUCCGCGCUGAGGGAGGGGGAUUUCUGCAUCCCCUCACCGACCGAGCCGCCGUGCCCUGUUGCGGAGCCGGGAAAGCGAGAAGAGGCUGUGGACAUGAGGGACUCUUAGCUCUUUGGGCACAAUGCCUGAACCGUGUAUGGCACAGAACCUCCUUGUGUUGGAUUAGUGAAGUUACCUGGAUCCUCAGGAAACAGCUUCAAGGUCUCAUACCUUCAAAAACAAGUCUUUUAAAAAAUCUAGAAUCUGUGGAAUCUGCAAACAAGUAAUUGACAGCCAAGGAAUUUCUUGCAGAGUUUGCAAAUAUGCCUGCCACAGGAAAUGUGAAGAAAAG